UUUUUUAUUAUUUUAUUGUUUUUAUUAGCCUUCUAGCCGUUGAGAGUUACCAUGGCAACCGCGUACACAUCAGCUGCUGGAGAGGAGAGGACUCGUCUGACAUUUUCUCUGUUUCUCGUCAGUUAUACCAAAGAAAAGGCCAACAACUGCGACAGAUUUUGAUUUCAGGAGUGUCUUAAAAACCCUCUAAAACAGAGGAGAAGUUCCAAGAAAAUGUCUAACGGGAGCUGCUGACAGAGAUAGAAAACACAGUUUGUUUAUUUCUAAUAAGGAGCUGGAGGCCGUGAAGAUACAGAUCCAUGAUAUCGUGGAGAAGCAGGCUCAGCUGAGCGAGUGGAGAGCUGUGCUGGAAAUAUUCAGGGGUUGAUGCUCAUACGUCCAGGUGUAAGACAUGAUCCAGGCCCUGGGCGACGACCUCUCUCCAUCCGCCGCCUCCGGUCUUCAGGAUCUCCACCAGAACCCGAUUCGCUCCACUUCGCGAGACAGAACAAAACGCUGUGAUCAUCAGAGACUCCAUCGUCCGGCACGUUUGCGCUAUGUUAGCUGAAGGUAAAGUCCACACUGACUACUUCCCUGGUGCUCAUGUUCUUGAUAUUUCUGCACAGAUUCCCGUGACCCUGAAGAGUGAGGUGGGCAUCAGAGCGGACGGAGACGCUGAAGAGGGACUUCAGGAGCCUGAUCAAGACAGUGCGCAGCAUAUCGCCUGCAUGAUGAUCAUCGUGUCAGGACCACUUCCCACGUAUAGAUGAGGACAUGAAAGGCUUUUUAGAUCUCCUGUUGGACAACAUCUCCAGGACACUUCGCUCCAUAUGACUAGGCAGUUUGUGAAAAGAGAUAAUCAAGAGAAGUCAGUUCCAGAUCCACCCUCCACACCAGACCUCUCUCUCACGAGGAUUGCUGUCUACUAGCAUAUUGUGUUCUUCAGCUCUUCAGACUUCGGUAGAUGCAGAUAUUACUCAGGGACAUGAACACUAGAAUAUUGCAAGAAUAGAGAAAGUAAGAAUUACU